GUGCACCAGUCGCGAAACCUCCGCAAUACACGAAAGUGUGACGGGGCCAUCCCGAGUGCCGUCCGCUGAGGACGGCUUUUCCCCAGUAUACACAGCUGGGGGAAUAAGGAGAGGGCAAGCCUGGUGUCAGCCGCCGCGGUAAUACCAGCUCUCCGAGUGGUGGGGACGCUUAUUGGGCCUAAAGCAUCCGUAGCCGGCUGGGCAAGUCCUCCGUUAAAUCCAACGAUUCAAUCGUUGGGCUGCGGGGAUACUGUCCAGCUUGGGGGCGGGAGAGGCCGACGGUAUUCCCGAGGUAGGGGUGAAAUCCUAUAAUCCCGGGAGGACCACCAGUGGCGAAGGCUGUCGGCUAGAACGCGCCCGACGGUGAGGGAUGAAAGCUGGGGGAGCGAACCGGAUUAGAUACCCCGGUAGU
rnacentral:rRNA from 1 species